AGGGCCACACCCGCACCAUAUGGAAGUGCCCAGGGUGGGGUCAGUUGGAGCUACAGCUUCCAGCCUACACCAUAGCCACAGCAACAUGGGAUCCAGGCCGCAUCUGUGAUCUAUACCACAGCUCAGAGCAACACCAAAUCCUUAACUCACUGGGUAAGGACAAGGAUCGAACCCACAACCUCAUGGAUUCUAGUCGGAUUUGUUUCUGCUGUGUCGUAACAGGAACGCCCCAGAAUCUAUUUUAGAAGGAAGCAACCAAGAUCAAAGCAGCACUAGGCAUGAUGUGCCUUGUUUAUUUACCUGUUGGAACAGGCAAGGAAACAAAAAGGGACCUGUGCAUUUCUCGUGCUUUUCAAACAGGAGCUGGAUCUCUUGAAAUGGCCAAGGAGGAGAAGACAGUUUGAUUUAGAUUUGGCAUGGGUUUAGGGGAAGAUAUGCCUUUGUAGCUGGCCUUAAAUAUUAUGGCAACAUGGACUGAGUUAGUCUCCAAGGGAGAAGUUGCCACAUGUUGUAACAGAAGCCACUGGGCUUGGCAAGGAAGGGAAUGAAAGAACGACAAUGAAAGCAACGCCAUUUUCCCACCAUGGCAAAGAUGGGCUGACUGGGACCACGCCUGUCCCUCUUUUCCAGGGAAGACCAAACCGGGCACUGCCCUUUCAAAUCAGUCUUCACCAUAUUCUAAACAAUACUGAAUUCUGAAAUUAAUUUUAAUUCCUAAUGGCUUCUUAAGGAGACCUUUUUCUUCCUCCUUACUAAAAACAUAAACAAUUCAAAAAAGAGAUUCAAAAAGAGGAACUGCACCCCCCCAAAUUCUGAGUCUGAGAAGGCUGAGAGGGUGCACUUUUCAAAUGUAUUUAUUAAUUUUAGAGCUCCAGCAAGCUGUUUUGAUGCAUGCUCCAUCUCUUACCAUUUAAAUUUUUAAAACAUUAGAUUCUUACCUAUAUCUAUCUUGCUAUUUUGACUGGUCAUUCCCAAACGUAAACUGCCCUACUUUGAAGCUUUCCAAAGCUAAGAAGUGAAGUCUGAAAUAAAGCAGGCUGUUAACUGAGUUUUUACUGAAUGAAUCUGCAUUCUUGCAAGGCCUUGAGCUGGAUAUAAAUUCUUAGGCUUCUUCCAUUGACAGUAAUUCUUUUGGUCAUCAUCAUUAUAACUUAACUAUUUCUAAGAGGGAAAAAUAAGCUUGUAUAAAUUGUACUGAAUACAAUAUCUAGUUUCUACUUACGAGAAGCUCUCUGGGACUUGGGGCAAUGGUAGUCCCUAUCUCAAUGGGUAGUUCUAAGAAUUAAAAUCAUGAACAUCUGUAAAGCAACUAAGCUAGACCCGACCUAUAGAAAAUCAUCCAUAAAUGUGAGCAAUAAUUAUGCACGGCCAACCUAGUAACUUUAUUAUCCUGCUGAUGAGAAUAUGAGCGCCAAAGAGCAAGGGAGCAACUGAACCAUGCCUGGGCAAACAGCGUUCUCUCCUUGCUCUCUUAUUCGCUCUCUCCAUCACAGUGGGAGCACCACAUCCCUUCUACAAUUCACUUUCUUGUCCACACAACAAGCAAUAUACAUCUACACCAAGAAUGCCUAGAGAGGCCGGAUGCAGUUUUUGGCUAAUAUCAGCAGCAGCAGGACAAUUCACAACAUCUGUAUCUUCCUGUCUAUAUGAGUCAGGGUUUUCCAGAGAAAGACAGCGAAUAAGAUGUGGUAUGUGUGAGUGUGCAGAGAGAAAGACAAAGGCAGAGACAGACUGGCAGGUUGAAUUUCAAGGAAUUGACUUAGGUGACUAUGGGGCAGGCUAGUGACCCAGGAAAAGAUGACACUGUGGUCUCCAGACAGAAGGCCAUCUGGAGGCAGAAUUCCUUCUUCCUGGGGGGACAACAAUCUUUUUUUCUGAAGGACAUCAACAGAUUGGAUGAGGCCCACAUACACUAUGGAGAAUAAUUUGUUUUACUCAACAUCUACUGAUUUAAAUUUAAUCUCAGUUAAAAACACCUUCACAGGUAUUUUUAGACUUUUUAGACUGGUGUUUCACCAAAUAUCUAGGUACUGUGCUCUAGCUAAGGUGACACAGAAAAUUAGCCAUCACUCUCCUUUCCGAAUAGAUGGUGCUCAGUUUUCCUUUGCUGCAGGAAAAACCUCUCAAAAUGUACAGCAACUUCACUUUCUGAGAUCAGGUUAAAGGCAAGAAAUUCAGGAGUUCCCAUCGUGGCUCAGUGGUUAACGAACCUGACCAGCAUCCAUAAGGACUCAGGUUCAAUCCCUGGCCUUGCUCAGAGGGUUAAGGAUGCGGCGUUGCCUGAGCUGUGGUGUAGGUUGCAGACGUGGCUUGGAUCCUGUGUUGCUAUGGCUGUGGCAUAGCCUGGCGUCUUCAGCUCUGAUUCAACCCCUAGCCUGGGAACCUCCAUAUGCCACAGGUGCGGUCCUAAAAAGACAAAAAAAAAAAAAAAAAAGGCAAGAAAUUCAGAUGAGCCAUGCAUUUCUUAAGAGUAGGGAGAGUCAGGGGAAUACAUACCAGUCCACAGAAGGGACAGCUUCUAGAACAAAGACUGCAAACUUAUUAGGGCCAGACGAAUAAAACAAAUGAGUGAACCAAGCCGGGUGGGGUUAUGCACAGCCCCUGUACAACCGCUCAGCGGCCUCUGGCCACGGAAGGCUCCGAGUCUUUCUGCAACAGCCCCAGCACACAGCACGGCCCAGUGGGAGGACCACUGACUUUAAAGUCAGGUGGAAGGAGCCCUGUGUCCCAGUUCCACUGCACAUUAUCAGCAUGACCUGAAAUAAGUUACUUAAAACCCUUUGGGCCUCUGAGUUGUUUUGUGUGUGUGUGUGUGUGUGUGACCUGAGAUCGCUGUUGCUGACACUAUAUAAUUAUUGUGAAUACUCAGGGAAAAGUGCCUAAAAUGUGAUGGUUGAUAUACAUGUUUCCUACUUUGCUUUUAUUACCAUUUACAUAGCACUUAACUGUGUGCAAGACACAGCUCUUCAACUCAUUUAUUCCUCACAACAACCCUAGGAGGUAGCUUCUCAGUUUACAAAUGAAGCACAGAAAGGGUAAAUAAUUUGACCAGGGACACACAGCAGGCAAUACUAAAAGACUGUCAAAAACUCAAAAACAGGAGGAUUCAUUCUUAGAUGCUACAGGAGAUUCUAUCCCUCAAACUACCAUAAGCCUCUUUGUCUUUUCUUUCAACCUAAAUGUGCUGCAAGUACAUAGGGUACCUUCUGACUCCCACUCCCACUACUGACUCCCAUGCCGUGGGCUCCCCGCUGCUGUCACCCCACAGGUGCUCCCUCAAAGGCACUCCAGACUCGGGGCUCAGUGUUGUAGGGUGGCUCAUGGUCCCCUCUCCUCAACCCUGCGUUAACACCUUCUCUGCCGGGCACCAACCUCCGAGGGCUGCCUAGGCCUCUGAAAUUCCCUGUUCUCUUUGAAAGCCCCUCCAUGGUCUCCCUCUCAGAGGUAAGUCCCAGGUCCCAGCCCCUCCCUCCCCUGUGCUCCGGCUCCUCUUCCCUCUCAGAUGCUGGGCACCAAGUCCCUGCAAAGCGUGUUUUCAAUGCACACCUCAGGGCCCAAGCUCCACACCUCGUCCCUGGGCCGGCACCCACCUACACACGGACCCUCUCUGCUCCGGGUCCUGCCAGCAACGUGCGUGACUUCAGCUGCCACAGGAAAGCCCACCCAGCUCGGGGCUGUGAGCGCCUUAACUUUCCCGUCUCCCAGGGCCAGCCCUCCCCCGACCUGAGCGGCCCACUCAAUGACCCAGUUCUUUUCUCAUCAUCUGAACUGCUUUGCUUCUGAAAGGGUAAGCUCUGACAGCCCUCCUCUGACCACACCCUCUUAGCCUUCAGCUCCCUUUACUGACUACUCAGGAAACCAACUGGUUACUCAGGAUAACCAAAGCUACUAAUCCUAAACCCCAAAUCUGACCUUUCCACUGUGUGCCCUCGGAAAGUUCCAGCAACAAGCCAGCUGUCCAGCCAGAAGCUUACACGUUACCUUUUACUCCUCCCCCUCCUCGUCCAUAGCCAACGAACCCCAAUCUGCCACACGCCUCCCAUCCUUCAACACCUACCAGAGUCUCUCCUGCUAUCCGAUCACCAUCGCUUCUCAUCCAGAAUCCUCUGUCCAAUGGUGUCCUGACCAGCAUUUCGCUUCCAGGACCUGCUUCCCUGAAAUCUAUUCUUCCGCAGACAGAAUGGUCCUUCUAAAACAUGGGUCUAAUCACAUCACUCCAAUACUUAACAUCACGAAUACUGCCCUUCAGAAGAGGACAAGAUGCCCUAAUGCAGCUUCAGGGGCACUUCUUGAUCGAGCGGCUGCCCACCGCUCCUGCCUUCUCGCCUGUUUCCUCCGUUCCCGCUGCACACAGCUGCCAGGUCUUCAGAGGCCCCGGGUCUCCCUCUUGCCUUUGGGGCUUGGUGCACUCCAGUCCCCUUGCCCAUAACAUGCCUUUUUCUCAUGUUUCACCUGGGCUUUCCUCACGCGAGAGUCAUGGUAAAUAUUACAACUUCCUUAAGAGGCCACCCUGGUC
rnacentral:lncRNA from 1 species